ACGGAGGGUGCAAGCGUUGUCCGGAUUCACUGGGUUUAAAGGGUCCGCAGGCGGAUUAUUAAGUCAGUGGUGAAAGCCUACAGCUUAACUGUAGAACUGCCAUUGAUACUGAUAAUCUUGAGUACAGACGAGGUGGGCGGAAUUUAUGAUGUAGCGGUGAAAUGCAUAGAUAUCAUAAAGAACACCAAUUGCGAAGGCAGCUCACUAGACUGUAACUGACGCUCAUGGACGAAAGCGUGGGGAGCGAACAGG
rnacentral:rRNA from 1 species